UACGAAGGGGGCUAGCGUUGUUCGGAAUUACUGGGCGUAAAGCGCACGCAGGCGGAUUGAUAAGUCAGGGGUGAAAUCCCGGGGCUCAACCUCGGAAUUGCCUUUGAUACUGUCUGUCUUCGAGUUCGGGAGAGGUUGGCGGAAUUCCUAGUGUAGAGGUGAAAUUCGUAGAUAUUAGGAAGAACACCAGUGGCGAAGGCGGCCAACUGGCCCGAUACUGACGCUCAUGUGCGAAAGCGUGGGGAGCGAACAGG
rnacentral:rRNA from 1 species